AACGGAGAUUAUACGCAGAGGCGAUUUCGGCCUUUUCAUGUGUAAUCUUAGUGGCGGACGGGUGAGUAACGCGUGGGUAACCUGCCUUACACUGGGGGAUAACACUUACAAAUAGGUGCUAAUACCGCAUAAGCGCACGAAGCCGCAUGGAUUUGUGUGAAAAACUCCGGUGGUGUAAGAUGGACCCGCGUCUGAUUAGCUUGUUGGCGGGGUAACGGCCCACCAAGGCGACGAUCCGUAGCCGGCCUGAGAGGGUGGACGGCCACAUUGGGACUGAGACACGGCCCAAACUCCUACGGGAGGCAGCAGUGGGGGAUAUUGGACAAUGGGGGGAACCCUGAUCCAGCGACGCCGCGUGAGUGAAGAAGUAUUUCGGUAUGUCACGCUCU
rnacentral:rRNA from 1 species